AACAACUCACAGUAACAAAAUGUAUUUCGUCGACGUUCGCUUUGGUGGGGAAAACUGAAAAAGAAUUUAUAACAGUAUCAUUGCAAAGAAUCUCUUCCGUCACGGGAUGAUCUACUUUAAAUAUAAACCAUGAUGUUUAACAUCCCUCUAGAGUAAUCAGCGUGAACUAAAUAGGAUCAUUGCCCGUGGCUUUUUCAAACAAUGGCUGUUAAAACAAGAGUCAAAUUAAAAUUUUAAAAAAUCGUGGUUCAUAUUUUACAUCACUUAAUUUCUUAAUU